UACUGGAAGCCCUCAUAUUUAACUAAACAUACUAAAACACCGAAAAAAGCGAGAAAUGAGCUAAAAAACAACAGGAUCAAGAAUUCUUUCAUUGGUUUUAUCCGAAGAUUCAGUCAUCUAUUGCGUCGCUUUGUUAAGGGACGACUCAAAGGAGGCGAGGAGGAAGUACAGCAAGGUGGUGUGGGGAUUUGUCACCUCUGGACCAAAUGAGGCUCUUGUCAUAUCGGGUGUGAAGUGAGCAGCUUCCACUUCGCCAUCCCUGAACGGCCCGCAGGAAUCUCUGCCAACACCUGCUUCAGCACUGCUGGCAUCUGGUCGUCAAAUAGCGGUGCCACACCGGGCCUGACGUGCUCCGUUGCAAUCGGGGAGUCGAGUUUCACAAGAAAGACUGGCCGAGCAUCGCCGCCUUCAAGCCCCACAAGAGGUGUUCAGUAUCGUUGGCACAGAGCAGAGGGCCUGGUACAAGAGUUUUCAUUGCAGUCAAGGAAGUCAAGAAUUUUAAGCAGGAGUUUAGACUCAAACAGUUAACGGCAGGAAGAACGCCUGAAAUUCCCUUCAAGUUGCGGGGGGACAACGGGCAACCUUCAACACUUGCGGAGGCACAAGAGUUGUGGGCAGUUUCGCCAGGAAGAGUUUGUUCCGCACUCAAGUUGACACAAGGACUCAAGAAUGAGCAAGAGUUCUCUAGUCUGGGAAGAAUGUAGCAAGUCCCUCUUCUGUACUCAACAACCACCACCACCACCACCACCAUUCAGACUUGGGACAUGCAAAUCAUACAGCAAUGCAUGGUGUGUGCUGUGGCACCUGGCUUGUGACACCUGUACAGCAGCAGCAGCAAGUUCUGGCUGUAGACACCCUCCAUUUGGCUCUUCCUGACGUCACAGCCUGCAACACGGCACCACCAGUCCGACUGCAGACAGGACGUUCGCUGGCACGAGACAAACGUCUGCAAAAGAGUAGUGCAACUUUGGGAAAAUGGAAAGUUAUGAACACUCUGAACUUGUAUCACACAAAACAUGUUACACAGUAAUUCUAUCUGCCAAAAGCUGCCUUUUUACUUUUCACAAACUCUUUACAAAGUGUUCACUCCGGGGCCCAAACAACCCUCAGACAUUCCACAACUCCACCCAAAAAAACCACCACCUCUCCACCCCACAAAACCUCUCCAACAAAUCAAAACUUUCUCCACUAACCUUUUCAUCCACUUUCCUUUUCCCACAAAUCCUUUAAAUAUUAUCUUCACUUAAGCAUCCUUCAAAUAUUUUUCUCUCUGGGCCUCUCCACUUGCCCCAAAAUUCCUGUGAUGAAAUUAAAGCAAGUUAUUGAUUUGUAGGCCUUGGCAGGUAGGGAAGGAAUGAGAGAGAGAGAAAGAGAGAGAGAAAUACACCAAUAAAACCACACAAUAGCAAAAACAAUAUAAAAUCAUCUUAGGCUUAUGAAAAAAAUAAUGAAAAUUAAAUACAAGCCUAAAAAAUCUCAAUGGAAAUAAUUAAAAGUAACAAAAUUUGUUUAUUCUUAUGUCAAAAUUAAUGUAAAAUAAUAAAAAGAAAUAUUC